rnacentral:rRNA from 1 species
AUACGUAGGUGGCAAGCGUUGUCCGGAAUUAUUGGGCGUAAAGCGCAUGUAGGCGGUUUGGUAAGUCGGUCGUGAAAAUGCGGUGCUUAACGCCGUAUGGCGAUCGAUACUGUAAGACUAGAGUAUGUGAGAGGGAAGUGGAAUUCCCGGUGUAGCGGGGAAAUGCGUAGAUAUCGGGAGGAACACCAGUGGCGAAGGCGACUUCCUGGCACAAUACUGACGCUCAUGUGCGAAAGCUAGGGUAGCGAACGGGAUUAGAUACCCCGGUAGUCCUAGCCGUAAACGAUGGAUACUAGGUGUGGGUGUCGCAGGGCAUCCGUGCCGCAGCUAACGCGUUAAGUAUCCCGCCUGGGGACUACGGUCGCAAGACUGAAACUCAAAUGAAUUGACGGGG